rnacentral:rRNA from 1 species
GGGUCCGUAGCAAUACGGGCAACCGGCGAACGGGUGCGUAACACGUGAGCAACCUGCCGCGCUCUGGGGGAUAGCCGGCCCAACGGCCGGGUAAUACCGCAUACGUUCUUUGGGGGGAGUCUCCUGAAGAAGAAACCUCCGGGGGAGCGCGAGGGGCUCGCGGCCUAUCAGCUAGUUGGCGGGGUAACGGCCCACCAAGGCAGUGACGGGUAGCUGGUCUGAGAGGAUGGCCAGCCACAUUGGGACUGAGAAACGGCCCAGACUCCUACGGGAGGCAGCAGUGGGGAAUCUUGCGCAAUGGUCGAAAGACUGACGCAGCGACGCCGCGUGUGGGAGGACGCCCUUCGGGGUGUAAACCACUGUUGCCCGGGACGAAACUCCUCUUUCGAGAGGACUGACGGUACCGGGUGAGGAAGCACCGGCUAACUCCGUGCCAGCAGCCGCGGUAAUACGGAGGGUGCGAGCGUUGUCCGGAAUCACUGGGCGUAAAGGGCGCGUAGGCGGCGCGGAAAGUCGUCGGUGAAAGCUCAGGGCUCGACUCUGAGUCUGCCGGUGAUACUCCCGCGCUCGAGCUCACUAGAGGCAGAUGGAAUUCCGGGUGUAGCGGUGGAAUGCGUAGAGAUCCGGAAGAACACCGGUGGCGAAGGCGGUCUGCUGGGGUGAGGCUGACGCUGAUGCGCGACAGCGUGGGGAGCAAACAGGAUUAGAUACCCUGGUAGUCCACGCCGUAAACGAUGGGCACUAGGUGCUUGGGGGAGCGACCCCUUGAGUGCCGGCGCUAACGCAUUAAGUGCCCCGCCUGGGGAGUACGGCCGCAAGGCUGAAACUCAAAG